rnacentral:rRNA from 1 species
AGUGAACGCUGGCGGUAGGCCUAACACAUGCAAGUCGAACGGCAGCACAGUAAGAGCUUGCUCUUACGGGUGGCGAGUGGCGGACGGGUGAGGAAUACAUCGGAAUCUACUUUUUCGUGGGGGAUAACGUAGGGAAACUUACGCUAAUACCGCAUACGACCCACGGGUGAAAGCAGGGGAUCUUCGGACCUUGCGCGAUUGAAUGAGCCGAUGUCGGAUUAGCUAGUUGGCGGGGUAAAGGCCCACCAAGGCGACGAUCCGUAGCUGGUCUGAGAGGAUGAUCAGCCACACUGGAACUGAGACACGGUCCAGACUCCUACGGGAGGCAGCAGUGGGGAAUAUUGGACAAUGGGCGCAAGCCUGAUCCAGCCAUACCGCGUGGGUGAAGAAGGCCUUCGGGUUGUAAAGCCCUUUUGUUGGGAAAGAAAAGCAGCAGGUUAAUACCCCGCUGUUCUGACGGUACCCAAAGAAUAAGCACCGGCCAACUUCGUG